rnacentral:misc_RNA from 1 species
CCGGCGCGAGCGAGCACG